rnacentral:rRNA from 1 species
CCUACGGGGGGCAGCAGUGGGGGAUAUUGCACAAUGGGGGGAACCCUGAUGCAGCGACGCCGCGUGGGUGAAGAAGCGCCUCGGCGCGUAAAGCCCUGUCAGCAGGGAAGAAAAUGACGGUACCUGAAGAAGAAGCCCCGGCUGACUACGUGCCAGCAGCGGCGGUAAUACGUAGGGGGCAAGCGUUAUCCGGAUUUACUGGGUGGAAAGGGGGCGCAGACGGCGAGGCAAGCCAGGAGUGAAAGCCCGGGGCCCAACCCCGGGACUGCUCUUGGAACUGCGUGGCUGGAGUGCAGGAGGGGCAGGCGGAAUUCCUGGUGUAGCGGUGAAAUGCGUAGAUAUCAGGAGGAACACCGGUGGCGAAGGCGGCCUGCUGGACUGCAACUGACGUUGAGGCCCGAAAGCGUGGGGAGCAAACAGGAUUAGAUACCCUUGUAGUC